UACGAAGGGGGGCUAGCGUUGCUCGGAAUCACUGGGCGUAAAGCGCACGUAGGCGGAUUGCUAAGUCAGGGGUGAAAUCCUGGAGCUCAACUCCAGAACUGCCCUUGAUACUGGCGAUCUCGAGUCCGGGAGAGGUGAGUGGAACUGCGAGUGUAGAGGUGAAAUUCGUAGAUAUUCGCAAGAACACCAGUGGCGAAGGCGGCUCACUGGCCCGGUACUGACGCUGAGGCACGAAAGCGUGGGGAGCAAACAGGG
rnacentral:rRNA from 1 species